UACGGAGGGUGCGAGCGUUGUCCGGAAUCACUGGGCGUAAAGGGCGCGUCGGCGGCCUGGUAAGUCGGGGGUGAAAUCCUGCGGCUUAACCGCAGGGCUGCCUUCUAAACUGUCAGGCUCGAGCACGGUAGAGGCAGAUGGAAUUCCCGGUGUAGCGGUGGAAUGCGUAGAGAUCGGGAAGAACAUCAGUGGCGAAGGCGGUCUGCUGGGCCGUUGCUGACGCUGAGGCGCGACAGCGUGGGGAGCAAACAGG
rnacentral:rRNA from 1 species